GCGAACGCUGGCGGCGUACCUAACACAUGCAAGUCGAACGGGGAGCUUUGGUGUAGCAAUACAUCGCAGCUCCUAGUGGCGCACGGGUGAGUAACACGUGGGCAACCUGCCCUCGAGUCUGGGAUACCUCCGCGAAAGUGGGGCUAAUACCGGAUACGUUCCUCGGGUCGGAAGACUUGGGGAGGAAAGGUGGCGCAAGCUGCCGCUCUUGGACGGGGCUCGCGGACUAAUCAAGCUAGUUGGCGGGGUGGUAAUGGCCCAACCAAGGGCGAUGACGGUGUAGCUGGUCAUGAGAGGACGACCAGCCAACACGGGGACUGAGACACGGCCCCGACUUCCUACGGGAGGCAGCAGUGGGGACAUUUUCCGCAUGGGCGAAAGCCUGCCGGAGUGACGCCGCGUGUGGGACGAAGGCUUCGGGUCGUAAGCCACUGUCAUUGUGGGGAAAGAUGGGUGUCGGCGUGAUAAGCGCCGAUGCUUGACGGACCUGCAGAGAAGCCCCGGCCAACUCUGUGCCAGCAGCCGCGGUAAGACAGAGGGCGGAAGCGUUGCUCGGAGAUUACUGGGCGUAAAGGCGCGCUAGGCGGGAUGGCAAGGUCGGUUUGUUGAAAUCCUUCGGCUCAAGCCGAAGACGCGAUCGAUACUGCCAUUCUUGAGGGAUGCCAGAGGCGACUGGAAGUCCCGGUGUAGCGGAUGACAAUGUGUAAGAUCGGGAGGAACACCGUGGCGGAAGGCGGUCUCUGGCACUACUCCUGACGCUGAAGGCGCGAGAGCGUGGGGGAGCAACGGAUUAGAUACCCCGGGAGUCCACGCUGGAAACGAGUGAAGCACUAGUGUGGGGGGGUUCAGUCCCUUCCGUGCCGCAGCUAACGCAUUGUAAGUGCUCCGCCGGGGAUUACGGCCGCGAAGGUUGAAACCUCAAAGGAAAUUGACGGGGGCCCGCACACGCGGUGGAGCAUGUGGUUCAUUCGAUGCAGAGCGAAAGACCUUACCUGGGCUUGACAUGUAGGAAGUAGAAACCGGAAACGGGGACGACUCGUUAGAGUCGAGAGCCUACACAGGUGGUGCAUGGCUGUCGUCAGCUCGUGCCGGUGAGGUGUUGGGUUAAGUCCCGCAACGAGCGCAAACCCUCACCCUAUGUUGCUACCGGUAAUGCCGGGCACUCUUGGGGAACUGCCGGCGAAGAGCUGGAGGAAAGGGGGGAUGACGUCAAGUCCAGUAUGCCCCUUAUGUCCAGGGCUACACACAUGCUACAAUGGCCGGUACAGAGGGUCGCCAACCCGCGAGGGGGGGAGCCAAUCCAUAAAGCCGGCUCUCAGUUCGGGAUUGCCAGGCUGCAACUCGCCUGCAUUGAAGUCGGAAUCGCUAGUAAGCGCAGAUCAGCAGGCUGCGCUGAAUACAGUUCCCGGGCCAUUGUACACUACCGCCCGUCACACCACCGAAGCCGGUAUUGUACCAGAAGUCGCUGAGCUAACCGCAAGGAAGCAGGCGCCCAAGGUAUGGUCGGGUGACUUGGGGG
rnacentral:rRNA from 1 species